rfam:Phaethon lepturus contig29991, whole genome shotgun sequence.
CUAAAGGCUUUUCUCAAAACCAUUCCAUUUCUUAAAAGAAAUUCAAU